rnacentral:miRNA from 1 species
GCUUCUAUAGCGUAGUC